AUAUAUCCAUCCGUCUAGCUAGCCACCUCUCUCCCUCUCAUUUUUCUGUCCUCCACUUGGAUCCGUUUGUGAUGGAUUUCAGAAAUUUUACUGAAAAUAAAACCCAAAAGCUCGAGUUCUGUUACGAACGAAGCUUGCAAACCCAAUUCUCUUCCACACGGAAAACAAGGAGAGACCCUGCCUUUGUCAUAAUCCCUAUUUUCUCUGACAGUGUGCCCACAUUCAGUAGCGCCACAUUCCCCAUCAGAGCUUAAAAGAGGGGAGGGGGGGCAAGGAAGAGAGAAAGAAAACUAAAAGGAAAAAAAAAAAUCUCCUAAAUUAAAGUUGCCAGAUUUCAACCUUAAAGUCCCUUUUCAGAAUAGCGAAGUCUCCCCGAGCCAGCUUUUUCUAAAAAGUUAAAGAAAGCUGAGAAAACCGACCGGAAAUCUAUGAGUAAAUAGCUUAAAAAUAUAUAUCAGUUGGGGUGUCAAGAAGCUCAAAUUCUCUAUCUGCAAAGCUCUAAGAUGCAUCUGGGGGUGUCGGCUCACCUCAUAGAUAUCUUCGUACUUGACAUUCUCCACGAGCUUCCAGAGCAUGAUGGCAGCCUGGUCUCUAGGAGGGUGCAGAGGGCUCCCUGAAGCAAGAAGAGAAGCCCAGAAGAGGAUCUUUGCCCCUAGGGCAGUAAAUAAAUGGCAGGAGGGAAUGAGGAGGUAUCUGGACGAUUUGGGGUGAAAGUUAUGAAGCUUGGUAAGAGUGAAUCUGCAAAAGGCGAUUGUCUUUAAAUCCAGAGCGCUUCGAGCUGCCGUGUGCGAACAGGGUCGGACGCUUUGCGAGCAGAGGGCUCUGGACAACCUCGGCGGAUUCCAAUUCGAUAAAAACCAAGGAGACACUUCGUGAAGUGCAGAAUGCACGAUUCUGCAGAUUUUAAAUUUAUUUAUUUUUACCGAUAAGCCAAAUGAACACAAAGAAGGUGCUUUAGAAGGAACUUCAGAAAUAAACCCUUUUUUUGAUUUCCA